rnacentral:rRNA from 1 species
UACGUAGGGUCCGAGCGUUGUCCGGAAUUAUUGGGCGUAAAGGGCUCGUAGGCGGUCCGUCACGUCGGGAGUGAAAACUCAGGGCUCAACCCUGAGCGUGCUUCCGAUACGGGCGGACUAGAGGUAUGCAGGGGAGAACGGAAUUCCUGGUGUAGCGGUGGAAUGCGCAGAUAUCAGGAGGAACACCGGUGGCGAAGGCGGCUAUCUGGACAGAAACUGACGCUGAGGCGCGAAAGCUAGGGGAGCAAACAGG